GAGUGAUACAAUGCCAUGGCAGCCUGCAUGAAGUCUAUAACUCCGCUAGGAGCUGAAUCACCCAACAAGGAGAGGAGACUUCUCUCAGUUGCUUAUAAGAAUGUUGUAGGAGCCCGUAGGUCAUCUUGGAGUGUUGUCUCAAGUAUUGAGAAGAAGAUGGAAGGUGCUGAGAAAAAACAGCAGAUGGCUUGAGAAUACAGAGAGAAAUUUGAGACCGAGCUAAGAGAUAUCUGCAGUGAUGCACUGUCCCCUUUGGAGAAGUUCUUGGUUCCCAAUGCUUCACAAGCAGAGAGCAAAGUCUUCUAUUUGAAAAUCAAAGGAGACUACUACCGUUACUUGGCUGAGGUUGCCACUGGUGAUGAUAAGAAAGGAAUUGUGGAUCAGUCACAACAGGCAUACCAAGAAGCUUUUGAAAUCAGUAAAAAGGAAACACGGCCAACACAUCCUAUCAGAUUGGGCCUGGCCCUUAACUUCUCUGUCUUCUAUUCUGAGAUUCUGAACUUCCCAGAGAAAGCCUGCUCUCUUGCAAAGACAGCUUUUGACGAAGCCAUUGCUGAACUUGAUACAUUAAGUGAAGAGUCGUACAAAGACAGCACGUUAAUGAUGCAAUUGCUGAGAGACAACUUGACAUUGUGGACACCGGAUACCCAGGGAGAUGAAGCUGAAGCAGGAGAAGGAGGGGAAAAUUAACGGGCCUUCCAACUUUCAUCUGCCUCAUUCUAAAAUUUACACCGCAGACCAUUUUGUCAUCCAUGCUGUCCCACAAAUAGUUUUUUUGUUCACGAUUUAUGAUAACUUUAUGUUACUUCUAUUUGAAUUUCUAUAUUUCCCAUGUGGUUUUUAUGUUUAAUCUUAGGGGAGUAGAGCCAGUUAACAUUUAGGGAGUUAUCUGUUUUCAUCUUGAGGUGGCCAAUAUG